UUCCGUAGGUGAACCUGCGGAAGGAUCAUUCACACGAAUUAAUCCAACCAUACCAUUGUGAAUCUCCCGCUGUGAGGUUUCCGUCUGGGGUUGACUUGCGCGGUUCUCCCACGCAUGGCCCUCGGGCGGGACCUCGAGGGUGGUGGGGCUGACUCGGAGCAUUCUCCUCGUCCGCCGCCUGCCACCGGGCUUCCUUACACUCAUAACAAACCUCGUGCCAAUUCUUCUUUCAUAUUCCUGUGUUGCUCUGGUGAGCUUGCUCGCCUUGCGGCAUAGAUUCAAGUGAAUUACAACUUUCAGCGACGGAUGUCUCGGCUCGAACAACGAUGAAGGGCGCAGCGAAGUGUGAUAAACAUUGUGAAUUGCAGAAUUCCGUGAACCAAUGGGACCUUGAACGUAUACUGCACCGUCGGGUUAUCCCUGACGGUAUGCCUUCUUCGGUGUCUAACUCCCUCUUUGCGUCUCGCGCGUUUUCUAAUGCGCGUCUCGCGUGUCUGCGCGCCAGGGCGCUCUCUCGCAAGAGUGAGCCACUGACGCGUUCAAUGAAUUGGGGCAACCACGACGAGCAACUUAAAACUCAACUCGUUUGUUUUUUGUGUUGCGCUUCGCCGUGUGUCUGUUCCCAUUCCUCACCCUGCCGAUGGAGCAUCUCUCUCCAUCCAAGACACGAAGUGAGGUCAGAAAACCCGCUGAAUUUAAGCAUAUCAAUAAGCGGAG
rnacentral:rRNA from 1 species